rnacentral:rRNA from 1 species
CCCCAAGAGUCCACAUCGACGGGGAGGUUUGGCACCUCGAUGUCGGCUCAUCACAUCCUGGGGCUGUAGUAGGUCCCAAGGGUUGGGCUGUUCGCCCAUUAAAGUGGUACGCGAGCUGGGUUCAGAACGUCGUGAGACAGUUCGGUCCCUAUCCGUCGCAGGCGUAGGAAAUUUGAGAAGACCUGUCCUUAGUACGAGAGGACCGGGAUGGACGUACCUCUGGUGUACCAGUUGU